GUUCGGUUCGGUUCUGCGGGAUUGAGUUCUGUGCAGAGUUCAGAAUUCCUUGCUGAAAAGUGACGGUCCAGGAGAAGAGAAGUGGACGUAAACAAAGAGGAAGAUCUCCAACAACGGCUUUGGACCUGAAACCAGGAUGUUCAGCUUCUGUGUUCUGAAGGUCCAGUGAUCCGGGACAGAGUCUGAGUCAGAACCGACCCGCAUGGAUGCUGAAGUUUUUCCGUCGGUGAAUCAUCGUCCAGACGGUCAGAGAUGGAGGUCAAAGCUCCUCUGAGGCGGACAGAGAAGAUCUGUGGAGACGACAGCAAAGAUCACAGAACAAUCGAUUCAUGGAAACUUCUGGAGAAGAUGGAAGCGACAAACACUCUUCAAAAGAGUCUUUAGGACUGAGACUAAAGGAGUUCGUCAGAGUGGAACCGGCUCAGUGGACCGGACCACUGAGAGUCGAUGGAACUGGAUCGGUGGACCGGACCACUGAGAGUCGAUGGAACCGGCUCA